rnacentral:lncRNA from 1 species
UGGAAGGUGAGGGGGUGAAAGGAGAGCGGAAGUGUAGGGGUGUGAGGUGAAGAGUGAAGAGAAGCCGGAUUGUCUUCGUCCGUCCUCAGCCGGAAACACCUAAAAUGGAAAAGCUAAAACCAUUUCAAGAUACAAAAGCAGGCCGGACAGUGUUAGGAAAAGCUCGUUCCGUGUGUCCGGCCCCUCCACCCUGUUUGUUUCUAAGGCAGAUCUCAGCCCAUCGUUUCCUCUGCACGUCUCAGUCGGUAACUCUAUAAAAUACGACUCAAAACAAAUCACACUCGCUGUGUCGUUCCCACAAAGGUU